ensembl:lncRNA
GGAGAGUCUGAGGAGGUGAGACCCUGCUUAGAGAGUCUCUGCAGUCGGCUCUCUGCAGGUGAGACUCCCAGUUGGUUGGUUUAAAACAGAGGAUGCACGGUUUUGUUGAAGAAACUUCCAUGAGAGAACUUUGUGGUUCUAACACUGUACGCCGGGGAACUGAACGACGGGAAUCAAAGCACGGGCUGGUCACCGGGAGACGAGGUGUCGGUGCGGCGCUUCACAGAGAGAGAGAGAGAGAGAGAGCUGUUCGUCUACUGUGGCUGUGGACCUGCGAUCAUCUGUGACCACCUCUCGCUCCCCUAUAUCUGAAGAUUCCUUUAAAGGAGUUGCCGCUGUUUGAAGUGUUGAUCUAUUAAACAUUUGAAUGAAUACGGG